rnacentral:rRNA from 1 species
CCAAGAGUCCACAUCGACGGGGAGGUUUGGCACCUCGAUGUCGGCUCAUCACAUCCUGGGGCUGUAGUAGGUCCCAAGGGUUGGGCUGUUCGCCCAUUAAAGUGGUACGCGAGCUGGGUUCAGAACGGCGUGAGACAGUUCGGUCCCUAUCCGUCGCAGGCGUAGGAAAUUUGAGAAGACCUGUCCUUAGUACGAGAGGACC